rnacentral:misc_RNA from 1 species
AAAAUAAUCCUACCCUUUGUGAAUUUUGUUUGUUUGAAUAAUUUUUUUUUUUUAAAAAGUUAUUGGAGUCUUUCCCUUUAGAGUUUGCUUUUGAGUUUGUAAAAGAAUUCGAAAACAUCUAAAGGGGAUGGUCAAUAAUUUUUUUUGAAAAAAGACAUUUUUUAAAAUUAAACUUUUUGUAUUCAUUUGUCUAAAAAUUAUUUUUAUAAUAUAAAAACAACUUUUGACAAUGGAUCUCUUGGUUCUCGCAACGAUGAAGAACGCAGCAAAAUGCGAUAAGUAGUGUGAAUUGCAGAAUACGUGAAUCAUCGAAUCUUUGAACGCAUAUUGCACUUUUUUAGUUUACUAAAAAAGUAUGUCUGUUUGAGUAUCAGUAAAAUAUUCUCAUAAAAAUCAUUGUGUAUUUUUAUGGUUAUGAGUGUUUUACAACGAUACAAGUUGUUUCACUUUAAAUUUUUUUUUAAUAUUGAAAUUUUUCUAAUUUUAAUAAUUAAAAUUGGAUAAAAUUUUCCCGUCAAAAGGAAUAACCUAAACAAUUUUAAAUGAUUAAUUUUAGCAAAAUUUUCGAAAAAAGGAAAAUUUUUAUUAAAAUAACUUGAUCUCAAAUCAGAUAAGAGUACCCGCUGAACUUAAGCAUAUCAAUAAGCGGAGGAAAAGAAACUAACAAGGAUUCCCUUAGUAACGGCGAGUGAAGCGGGAAGAGCUCAAAUUUGAAAUCUUCAAGGUUUUACCUUGACGAAUUGUAGUUUAAGAAGUGUUUUCUGCUGAAGUUUUGGUAAAAGUUCUUGGAAUAGGACAUCAUAGAGGGUGAGAUCCCGUAUUUGACCAUUAUUUUCAGCUUUGUGAUACACUUCAAAGAGUCGGAUUGUUUGGGAAUGCAGUCCAAAAUGGGUGGUAAAUUUCAUCUAAAGCUAAAUAUUGGCGAGAGACCGAUAGCGAAUAAGUACCGCGAGGGAAAGAUGAAAAGAACUUUGAAAAGAGAGUUAAACAGUACGUGAAAUUGUCAAAAGGGAAGCGUUUGACACCAGUGUUGUUUUCUCGAAAUCAAUUAAAAAUGGCUCGAUUUUGUAUUGCUGAGACCUUAAAAGCUCACUGUACAUUUUUCGUGUCUUUUUUAAUGCACUUUUCGUUUAACAAGUCAACCUCAGUUUCUUUUGUUGUAAAAGGGUCAUUGGAAGGUGGCUUUCUUUUCGGAGAAAGUGUUUAUAGCCUUUGGCCUCUGCAAUCGGAGAGACUGAGGUCUGCAGCGUAGACUCUUCGGGGUUAGAUACAUUUGUGCUAAGUUAUAGCUUUUUAUAGACAACUUGUUGACUAUAAUUAGUCUUGUAGCUUACUCGCUUAUGCUAUUU